UAACAAUAAAAACGAACUAUCAAGACGAAAGGAAUACCUUCGCAUCAAUAUUAAUUUAGAGUAUACGAUAUCGACUGCACAGAACAUGUCUUCUGAUCAUGAGACUGAAUCAAUACAGAUUAAACUACGGACAGCCCAAGACAGAUCUACUUUGAUUUUAACUAUUCAUAUUGAUCCAGAACUAAAGCAGAGAAAUAAUCAAAUGACAAGAUUUACCUGGAAGUCCUCCGAUUCCUGCGAUCCACGAAACAUGGACAUUGAACUUGCCCAGUAUCAAAAUGAAAAAUUUGGGAAACCAAAUACAAACGAAUGAAUGACGACUGAUGUCAUAUUGAGUUGCUUUCAUCGUAUACACAUGUGUCUAAUAUAAGUUUCUGGAUGUUUCAUAAAUAACAAUCAUCGAUCAAAGCAAUAUAAUAAAAUAUGUUCUUAUUUGUUAUUGAGUUUAAUAUGUUGCUAUUACUUUAUGUCUUAUUAACGUAUACUUUAUAUUUCCUUUCAAUCGUAUUAUAUUGGAUGCUUUGAUUUUAUUUGUAUACUAUGACAUAUAUUUCUCAAAGUGUAAUCAAUCAGAGAGCUCUUUUAUAAGCUGUAUCAAUAUUUGCAUUUCGGACAAACAAUGUUAUAAUGAUUAUCAACAGUUGUGACGUUCUUUUUGCUACGCUACUUUUGAUAGGUUAGCCAUGCAAUGCAACCGCUGUUUCGCAGUUUGGAUGAUUAUAACAAUUGUGAUCAGUUAUGAAAAACAUAUCAAUUUCAUGACAAAAAUGUAAAUGUUAGCAACAAACCAAAAUGUAUAAUUAUUUUCAAACGAAAAUCUGUUAUAAGUAUAACUAAAAUUGAGAAAGGAAAUG